GCAAUGACAAAGGCUGUUCAAAGUGCUGAGGAACCAAGGAAAUGUACAUAUUUGGCUUAAUUCAUAAAACUGUCAUUGAAGGCCAGCUAAGAAGACGAAGAUUUUUGUCCAGGAUCUGCAGCUGUGAGACCACAGAAAGUUUGUUGACUCAUGACCUAGAUGACUGCAAGAGCCUACAAUGAAGUCCCUCUGCAAACAGAAGCAAAAGGCACAGUCUGCUCCUCCUAAAGCAAGUCCACAUCUCUACUCCAGAAAAGAGCAAACUAUUUACAACUAUUUAAAUACAGCCUUUUCAUCUUAAAAAUUACAUUAAGUUUCUGGAAUUCUGAUAUACCCAAUUCCAAUUCUGGAGGCUGGCAAGUUCAAGAUCAAGGUGCCAGAAGAUUUGGUGUUUGGUGAGAACCCACUUUCUGGUUCCUAGAAAUAACAAUUUCUCCCUGAGUCCUCACAUAGUAGUGGGGAUGAAGAAGUUCUUUGGGAUCUCUUUUAUAAGGGCACUAAUCCCUUUUAUAAGGGCUCCACCUUAAUGAUCUAGUCACUUCCCAGACGCCCCACUUCCAAAUACCAUCACAUUGGGGAUUAGGUUUCAACAUACAAAUUUUAGGAGGACACAGACAUUCAGACUGUAGCAAUCCCUUGUGCCCAUUUGUUUUUCCUUUAGGAUGGUCAUUUUCUGCUGCUAUGGCCCAGUUUGUGCCUUCAAGGACUGACUGUGUAAAAAAGAGCCCAGAAACUCUUUGAACUGACUUACAGUAGCUUCUUCAGCAGUCAGCUGUAACGAUGGCUGGAGCACCUGGUACCUGAGUGAGGGCCAAGAAUGGGCUCUGCAUGUGCCCUCCCUCAACAAUUGCCCACCACCCAUUCUCACACAAAUGCAGUGGGGGAUGAACCUGUAGGGAUGGGUAAUCAGCCUGAAAGGAACAAUUUUGCAUAUGUGUAAAAUCUGAAAAAAUAAAUUAUUAUUCAUGGGAAACAUGCCACUAAUAUGAUAGAGAAGAAAAAGUUUGAUAUUUGGUGUCUGAACAUUUGGGUGUUUCCAGACCUAUCUCUGCCAUUUACUCUAUGAUUAAGACUUCACGACAUAAGUUUUCUGAGUCUCAUCUUCCCACCUCUUAAAGGUGCCUAAUGACAAUACCUGAAACCACUUUGCCAUAAAACAUUUACUGCAUAUUGUCAAUGCAUACUAGGUAUGAUACUAGGCACCAGCAAUAUAAAAACAAAUGAAAUGUGGCACCUGCUCUCAAGACUUGAAAGAAGCUAUAAUGUAAAGCAUCGAACUACAGGAGAAAAGUGGGAAUCUUUCCUUUUUCACAUCCAUAGUCACUAAGGCCAUUUGUCGACUGAGCAAAUGUAUAGUACAGAAAGCUGUUAGACUAAUAUCUAGUGAUUAAACUGUACUUAAGGGAGAGAAUGGCCUUUAAGUAGCAAAAAUCUCUCAUGGGUUAUUUUGUUAUUUAAAAGUGGCACUGGCGAGGGCUAGGAUAAAACAGUUAAACAGUUUUACCCAGGAAAUAAACCACAAUAUUGGAGAAGGAGGUUUAAAGUACUAGAAAAGAGAGAAGGAGGAAGAGAAAUAGUAAGAAUGCAGGCUGAGCUGAAAUAAUUUCCAUGAUCAGCUGUAAAGUUGCACACUUUUACAUGCAUACUCUGAUGUUGGAUUGUCAGUAAAAGUCUGCUAUCCACAAUUAUUAUCUUUGAGUUUGGGGAAAAUAAAUUAAAAGGAAAUGUUUGCCAAUCAUUGAUGAAUGGCAGUGGGAGAAGUGAAGAGAUGGAGAAUAAGAGAGACCUGAACCAGGGCCGGAAUCCCUGGAGUCCUCAUAGAACAUUAUAGGACAUUGAGAUCCCACCAUCUGUAGAAUAGGGUUUUAAGCCAAUGUAUACCUUAAUUGUGAUAAACAAGGGGAUCCCUGCAAGCUGAAGAUCCAGGGAACAGGUGGAGACAGACACAGAAGAAAUGAGGAAAUUAAUGAAUAAAAAGUCAAGAGCAUGAGAGGAAGGUAGACAUGACUUUGAAGGAAAGUCAGGCAAGAAUGUAUGGUUAUACUCUGUUGUCAGCAGGGAAUUACUUUAUAAAGUAGAAAGAGAAGCCCAAAGAGCAUCUUUUCCCCAGGGUAUAGUCAAGAGAAGAGAAGAGAUGGAAAGCCAUUUGGAAAAAGUGAUGGGGAAUUCAGGCAUCGGGUCAACACCAAGGUAAGUGGGAAGAACUCAGUGGGCCUGGCAUUGCUGGCAUAAAGAGAAGGUCCCUGAGGGCAGAAGGACACCUUCCAGACAGACCUGCUGUUUCUCCAAAGGGGUGCUUGCUUCACAUCCUUAUAUAUUUUUUUCCAGUCUUUACCUGAUGCCUGAGACCUGGCCCUUCUAAUUCUUUACACUGAAAGACCAGAAAAUUUUUUAAAAGAGAAAAAGAAAGAAAGAUAAAGAAAAAAGAAAGAAAGACAAGCAUAGCAUUUAUAGAAACAUGAGAACUUCUGCAGGGGUGCAGACCCAUCUUUGAAAAUGAUUCUUUGGAAGAGGCCUUUAGUGCCAAAUACUUGAGUUGCUGCCAGUCUGUUAUGACUCCUUCUUUAUCAUUUCCCCUCACAUGAGGCAGAUCGAGACAGAUCCACAUUCCUUCCCCUGUGUUUGGGGCCCACUCUCAGUCAUUGUCAGCUGCUGGUUUGCUGAGGUUCUUGGGGUUGAAAAAAUCCACCUGGUGG
rnacentral:lncRNA from 1 species